AGACUCUACCCAUACACAUUAAUAUGACAUUCCCCUCUUUACCUUGUGAUGGUACGGAAAAUGAUCCCCCCAUCUGUUCUUAUGUUUGCUUACACUCUUCAAGAAUUUUUUGUGUGAAUAUCUAGUAUCUAAAUGCUUCAGACAUUGACUAAUUUCUUCAACCGUGGUAGUUCUAAGUGUGGAUGCAAUUGAUAUGUCGGGGAAGCAUGAAGUAGACCUUGAUACAAACAUAUGGAAGGUAACCGGUCUUUCUGAAUUGAGAAAAUUCGUGCUCUGCCUUACCUUUAGAAAAAGGUGUUCUGCCCAUUAAACUGAAAAGAAAGUGACCAAGUUUCACAUGAAAAGAUGAUGCAUAACACCUUAGCUUGUAGUAUGUUAACUGUACUUUCACUAGCAGUUACUUUGUGCCUUUAUUAGACUUAUCUGGUAAUAUUAUUUUUUGUUAGAUUUUUUUUCCUUUUUCGUGUUUGUUUUACAGUUGGAGGGAUAAGAUGCAGCAGUAACGGGGUAUGACAACAAAAGCUGUGAUUCUGUUUUCACUUAGUAUUU
rnacentral:lncRNA from 1 species